AAUGAACGCUGGCGGCGUGCGUAACACAUGCAAGUCGAACGAGGAAUUCCGGGCUUGCUCGGGAGAGUAAAUUGGCGAACGGGUGAGUAACGCGGGGGUAACCUGCCCUUGAAUCUGGAAUACCUUCGCGAAAUCGAGGUUAAUACCGGAUAUUGUUCCAGGGACCGUGGUCCUUGUGAUGAAAGAUUGCCUCUUCACGAAAGUUGUCGUUCAGGGAGGGGCCCGCGUACCAUUAGCUAGUUGGUAGGGUAAUGGCCUACCAAGGCGAUGAUUGUUAGCUGGUAUGAGAGGAUGACCCGCCACACUGGCACUGAAACACGGGCCAGACUACUACGGGAGGCAGCAGUGAGGAAUUUUGCGCAAGAGGGGAAGCCCUGACGCAGCAACGCCGCGUGAGUGAAGAAGGCCCUCGGGUCGUAAAGCUCUGUCAAGUGGGAAAAAAGCUUACUGGUGAACAGCCAGGAAGACUGAUGGUACCAUUGAAGGAAGCACCGGCUAACUCCGUGCCAGCAGCCGCAGUAAUAC
rnacentral:rRNA from 1 species